GGUUAACGGAUAAAUUGUAGGCUUUUUGUUUUUUUUUUUUUUUGUUCUUUUUUUCCUUACAUACCUCUAUAUAUAUACUAUUCUUUUCUCCAACAUUCCUCAAAUUUCAUUCACUUUUUUUUCACAACAAAUUUUUGUUUCUCAAAUUUAUUUUCAAGAUAAUGAUUUUUAACCACGAAACUAUCCAUGUAUAUCAAAUGGUAUCCAAACCCGCCACCCGCGGAUACCCGCAACCCGUCGGGUAUCCGCCACCCACUAUCAUUGGAUACCCGCGAAAUUAAAUUUAAUUAUAAAUUUAUAAAUUUA
rnacentral:lncRNA from 1 species